rnacentral:rRNA from 1 species
AUUGAACGCUGGCGGCAGGCCUAACACAUGCAAGUCGAGCGGGGUUUUCGGACCUAGCGGCGGACGGGUGAGUAAUGCGUAGGAAGCUGCCCGAUAGAGGGGGACACCAGUUGGAAACGACUGUUAAUACCGCAUAAUGUCUACGGACCAAAGUGUGGGACCUUCGGGCCACAUGCUAUCGGAUGCGCCUACGUGGGAUUAGCUAGUUGGUGAGGUAAUGGCUGACCAAGGCGACGAUCUCUAGCUGGUUUGAGAGGAUGAUCAGCCACACUGGAACUGAGACACGGUCCAGACUCCUACGGGAGGUAGCAGUGGGGAAUAUUGGACAAUGGGCGCAAGCCUGAUCCAGCCAUGCCGCGUGUGUGAAGAAGGCCUUCGGGUUGUAAAGCACUUUCAGCGAGGAGGAAGGGGUGUGUGUUAAUAGUACACACCUUUGACGUUACUCGCAGAAGAAGCACCGGCUAACUCUGUGCCAGCCGCCGCAGUAACAC